AUUGAACGCUGGCGGCAGGCCUAACACAUGCAAGUCGAGCGGAUGAAGGGAGCUUGCUCCUGGAUUCAGCGGCGGACGGGUGAGUAAUGCCUAGGAAUCUGCCUGGUAGUGGGGGAUAACGUCCGGAAACGGGCGCUAAUACCGCAUACGUCCUGAGGGAGAAAGUGGGGGAUCUUCGGACCUCACGCUAUCAGAUGAGCCUAGGUCGGAUUAGCUAGUUGGUGGGGUAAAGGCCUACCAAGGCGACGAUCCGUAACUGGUCUGAGAGGAUGAUCAGUCACACUGGAACUGAGACACGGUCCAGACUCCUACGGGAGGCAGCAGUGGGGAAUUUUGGACAAUGGGCGAAAGCCUGAUCCAGCAAUGCCGCGUGUGUGAAGAAGGUCUUCGGAUUGUAAAGCACUUUAAGUUGGGAGGAAGGGCAGUAAGUUAAUACCUUGCUGUUUUGACGUUACCAACAGAAUAAGCACCGGCUAACUUCGUG
rnacentral:rRNA from 1 species